AGAAAAUGAAGAAGAGGAGGAGAAGGGAGGAAAUUAACUUAAGAAUCACAUGUGCUGACCAUUUCUCCCCUCCUCAAGGAGCAGUGGUAGAUGUCACUCAGCUGCUGCCUUGUCGUGUUGCCUGUGGAGUGGCAGCGGAGAGAAAAUGCAUUCUGGACGCAGAGUGUCAACAGAAAGGAAGUUUUUAAAAAUCUCUUAUGAACAUGGGGCAUGUGUCGUCCGGUUCUCUAUGAUAGAUUCGCAUUAGCUAUACUCUCUCUGCCUGCCACAAAUAUUUAGAUAGUUGCUAAAAAGAAGAAGAUGAAGAUGAAGGAGGAGGAUGAAAAGGAGAAUGAAAAGGAAGAAUGAGCAUAGCAGUAAAGAGGUUUGAUUUUCUCUCCCAUCCCCACACUUCUGCCACAGCCUGAUCACGUCAGCCCUUCUUUCUUUAAACAGAGUAAGAUUGGUCCAUAGAACCUGGAUUAUGGGUGUGUAUAAGGGUGUGUAUAAACAUAUGGUAGGUUAGUCAUACCUAUUCAUCUUAUUCCCAGUGCUUUAAGUGGAAAUAUAUAAUAUUAAAAGUAACUUCAUAUGAAUAUAUUUGCAUGUUUAUGAUAUACUUUAAAAAUUGCCAAUAAGUGUGUCUGCUCCAUAUAUAAAUCUGUCUCAAGUAAAAGACCCUUAGGCCAUAUUUACUUAUAAGAAAAAACAAUUUAGAAAAAUAUUUGAAAACUUAAAUUCAUUAAGACUAACUUAUGCUAAGCAAAUAAAUAAUCUCUUCCUUACAGGAGAAAUUAAUCAACUAUUUACUAAAUCAUCAAUACAAAAGUCUUGAAAUCAAAGCUACCUCAUAAAUAAAUUAUUUUAAAAACAAUGCAUCUUUGUUUACCGUAUAUAGUUGAAACUAUAAUAUAAGGUUUUUAAUGAAUAACUCUUCUUAAAUUUUUGCUUAAUUUAAAAAAUAACAUAUUUAUGUGUCUGACCAGCUAUUAGAAGUAAUGUUUUGAUUAUUUACCUAAUGAUACAAUUAUUUAAUUGAUGGUAGUUAUCUUAAUGCGGAGACUAGCUUCAGCAAAUGCAUUUACUUAACCAAUAAUAUCACAUUUGUGCUUUUGUUUCUCAAGUAAGUGGUAUUUGAAUGUCCUUUUAAUAGAUAAAUAGCUCUUUAUGUGGAAAUGAAAACAGUAGAUUGAAAAUGAAUGUACCUUUAAUAAUUCUGAUUACUGAUAAAAAUAAAAUACAACAUAUGUGACCUGGGAAAUAAACAUUAGUUAAAAAUGUUCUAGUGAUGUGUCUUCAUCAAUAAAAUAUGCCACCCCCUCCAAAAAAAAAACCAAGGAUACUAAAAAUGGACAUCAAAAAUUUUAUUCAUGUUCCUAGUUGCUAGAUAAAUAUUUUGAUACUCCCAUUUAUAACUGGUAUGAAUUUUUACAUACUGUGUAUAUAGACAAAAAUAAAAAUAUAGUUGGUAUGUUUCAGCUGA